rnacentral:misc_RNA from 1 species
GAUGAAGAACGUAGCGAAAUGCGAUACUUGGUGUGAAUUGCAGAAUCCCGUGAACCAUCGAGCCUUUGAACGCAAGUUGCGCCCGAAGCCAUUAGGCCGAGGGCACGCCUGCCUGGGCGUCACACGUCGUUGCCCCCCCAUCUACUCCUUCGGGAUUGCGGGGGGCGGAUGAUGGCCUCCCGUGCGCCUCGUCGCGCGGUUGGCCUAAAUGCCAAGUCCUCGGCGACGCACGCCACGACAAUCGGUGGUUGCGAAACCUCGGUUGCCUGUCGUGUGCGGUCGUCGCGCAUCGAGGGCUCGAAAAAAUUGCCGGGCUUCGGCUCGACUUUCAACGCGACCCCAGGUCAGGCGGGGUUACCCGCUGAAUUUAAGCAUAUCAAUAAGCGGAGGA